AAUCCAAUACAACAAUACUGGGAGUGCGCUUGUGUAGUCCCUGAACUUUUUUUACAAAAUUGUCGUUGUACAACUUCAAGUAUUUCAUACUCUUUAAGAGGAAGUUUACCCCAUACGUUACAUCCAUAGAGGCCACAUGAUAAGAUUACCCUCUCCCAGAUACGUGCUGCAGAUAUCGGGUUAAGACCUCCAAAAUACAAUCCAUUAUUAUGAUUAGUGUUCAUGAGUACUCGUAGCUUUUCACAUGCAGAUUUUGUACGUUCAAGUGAUGAUCUAUCUGUACUGAGAUAUACACCUGCAUAUUUAAUAGAUUUCCUUUGUGGAACAUGUAUAUCACCAAUUAAUACAUUACUGAUGUUAACGUUAUUGUUUGAGCAUUCAAAGUGUAGAACCGCACUCUUGCUUACAUUAUAUUUUAGCUGCCAUUUAUGAGCAUAGUUUUUAGCGACAUCGAGAAGAUUUUGCAGGCCUUUGGUAGAGGAACUCAUCAGAGUAGUGUCAUCAGCAAGAAGAAUCCCAGGGCAUUUACCCCAUGGCAAAAUUAAGCCAGAAUCUGAAUUCCCAAGUUCAUAUAGGAGGUCAUUAAUAAAUAAUGUGAAUAGCCAGGCGGACAUUACUCUACCUUGGCCUACUCCUUGAUUGACGGGGAAUGUAUCCGAUUUAUACCCUUCAAAGCAUACAAAUGAUUUCAUGGAGCUAUAGGAGAGCCUUAAUAUUCUCCAUAGUUUACCCGUUAUUCCAAUAUCAUACAGUUUAAUAAAUAAGCCAUCAAGCCACACCCGAUCAAAUGCCUUUUCAUUAUCUAAGAAUGCACAGUAUACAGGCGAUAUCCUUUCAUUGUAAUAUGCAAUGUUUUCUUUUAAUGAAUUCCUAUUUCUA